ACGGAAGGCAGCAGUGGGGAAUAUUGCACAAUGGGCGAAAGCCUGAUGCAGCGACGCCGCGUGAGCGAAGAAGUAUUUCGGUAUGUAAAGCUCUAUCAGCAGGGAAGAUAAUGACGGUACCUGAUUAAGAAGCACCGGCUAAAUACGUGCCAGCAGCCGCGGUAAUACGUAUGGUGCAAGCGUUAUCCGGAUUUACUGGGUGUAAAGGGAGCGCAGGCGGUACGGCAAGUCUGAUGUGAAAGCCCGGGGCUCAACCCCGGUACUGCAUUGGAAACUGUCGAACUAGAGUGUCGGAGGGGUAAGCGGAAUUCCUAGUGUAGCGGUGAAAUGCGUAGAUAUUAGGAGGAACACCAGUGGCGAAGGCGGCUUACUGGACGAUAACUGACGCUGAGGCUCGAAAGCGUGGGGAGCAAACAGGAUUAGAUACCCUGGUA
rnacentral:rRNA from 1 species